UACAGAAUGUUUCGGACAACACAAGUUAUUUAGAGGUUUGAAAGUUUUCAUUACAGAUUUUUAAAAAGAUAUGUAUUUUAUACAGUAAACAGUGCAUAUAAAAUGAGUCUCACUGGACCUGUGCAAGCAUGAACCUGGCUCUAGCCAUUGCAGGCACCAAAAGAAUCUAAAACAGUUGAGAGUUCGGGAAAUAAGAGGAUUAAUGUUAGUGGAUCAAGUAGUUCCAGUAGUUCUAGCAGUGACUCUGGUUCUUCUUUAAGUGAUGAAAGCUUGGGCAAAAGCACAGGAUAUUAACAAUUCGAACAAUGAACUCCUUAUCCAUAAUAUUAUUGGUUGCAUUCCAUCUCCAGCUCUCUUGAAAUACAAGAGCAAAAUGAGGAAAUUCAGUCGCAAAAAGAAGAAAUUACAACACAAAAACAUGAAAUUCAAGCACAA